AGUUCGGAUUGUAGGCUGAAACUCGCCUACAUGAAGCUGGAGUUGCUAGUAAUCGCGAAUCAGCAUGUCGCGGUAAAUACGUUCCCGGGCCUUGUACACACCGCCCGUCACACCAUGAGAGUUGGCAAUACCCAACGUACGUGAUCUAACCCGCAAGGGAGGAAGCGUCCUAAGGUAGGGUCAGCGAUUGGGGUGAAGUCGUAACAAGGUAAC
rnacentral:rRNA from 1 species